rnacentral:rRNA from 1 species
AGUCUCCUGAAGGAACGUUGAAGACGACGACGUUGAUAGGUCGGGUGUGUAAGUGUAGCGAUACAUUGAGCUAACCGAUACUAAUGAACCGUGAGGCUUAACCUUACAACGCCGAAGGUGUUU